rnacentral:lncRNA from 1 species
ACGCUCUAGGAAGUCGAGAUUGAGCACUCAUCUUAGUAAAAACGCAGCUCGCUGCUGCACUCUUUUGCUUGUUGUAAAUUUUUUGCAUCGGUAUUAAGUCAAAACGGGAUUCCGUCAGGUUUUACCUCAAUCUGAUGUUGCUGAUUGGUUUUUUUUACCUCAAUCUGAUGUUGCUGAUUGGUUUUUUUAGUGGCUUGAUCUCGCGAUGGUUGUAUAAUAACUUUUCCAUUAUAAACAGUGAUACUUUGCUAUCAGUCUAGUUAUCUCAGUUCUGAUAAUAACAUCCAAUUAAAUACCUCUACAUUAUAUAAAAGUACAAACAAAAUAUUGUUUGGAGUAUUAUUUAAUGUAAACUUAUCAUAUUGUCCCGAUUAAACUAUCUAUUAUUGUAUGAGUCAUGCUGAAUUGUGAGAUUUAUUGAAAAAUUGUAAUAGAAGCCUCGUAAAGUGUGGUUGUACGCGAUUUUGAUCUUGCCCUAUUUAAAAGACCAAGUUAUAGUGGUUAUAUUGGUAUAUAAUAUCGAGAAAAAGAAAGAUUGGAUUGUAGUAGUCAAUGAAGAUAUCUGCGUCAUCUGAGUUUGCUUCUCUUCUUUUCUUUUCUUUUAUUUGGUUAUACAACCUCUAUCUGAAACUAAUUUGUUUGAAUUCUUUUUGCCGACUAGUAGUCCCUCCUUUUAGUUGCCAUUUGAUUCUUCACUGCAUCGUCCAACACAGUUCGCUGUGCGGGCCCCUCUACCAUCCAACGGCUUCUGCUGAAUCAACAAACUUUUCUUAUCGUAUGUAGCGUAAUAUGAUUGAUUUGAAUUUUAUCCUCUGCGGAUUUUAUUGGGGAGCUCCUCAACGAAGCCUCGCUCGUGACACCACAUGACACCACCUAUCACCAUUGUUAUGGUGCCAAAACAAGACCAGUUCAGCCACCCAACCAAUCAAAAUUUUGCCACCUACUGCCCAUCCCAAUCACUCCACGUGUCCG